rnacentral:rRNA from 1 species
AACGAACGCUGGCGGCAGGCCUAACACAUGCAAGUCGAGCGCCCUUUCGGGGGAGCGGCGGACGGGUGAGUAACGCGUGGGAAUAUGCCCUUCUCUACGGAAUAGCCUCGGGAAACUGAGAGUAAUACCGUAUACGCCCUGUGGUGGUAAGAUUUAUCGGGGAAGGAUUAGCCCGCGUUGGAUUAGGUAGUUGGUGGGGUAAUGGCCUACCAAGCCGACGAUCCAUAGCUGGUUUGAGAGGAUGAUCAGCCACACUGGGACUGAGACACGGCCCAGACUCCUACGGGAGGCAGCAGUGGGGAAUCUUAGACAAUGGGGGCAACCCUGAUGUAGCCAUGCCGCGUGAGUGAUGAAGGCCUUAGGGUUGUAAAGCUCUUUCAGCUGGGAAGAUAAUGACGGUACCAGCAGAAGAAGCCCCGGCUAACUCCGUG